rnacentral:rRNA from 1 species
AGAGAGAGACAUGCGCGCAUAUCAAUAAGCGGAGGAAAAGAAACUAACAAGGAUUCCCUUAGUAACGGCGAGUGAAGCGGGAAGAGCUCAAAUUUGAAAUCUUCAAGGUUUUACCUUGACGAAUUGUAGUUUAAAGAAGUGUUUUCUGCUGAAGUUUUGGUAAAAGUUCUUUGGAAUAGGACAUCAUAGAGGGUGAGAAUCCCGUAUUUGACCAUUAUUUUCAGCUUUGUGAUACACUUUCAAAGAGUCGGAUUGUUUGGGAAUGCAGUCCAAAAUGGGUGGUAAAUUUCAUCUAAAGCUAGAUAUUGGCGAGAGACCGAUAGCGAACAAGUACCGUGAGGGAAAGAUGAAAAGAACUUUGAAAAGAGAGUUAAACAGUACGUGAAAUUGUCAAAAGGGAAGCGUUUGACACCAGUGUUGUUUUCUCGAAAAUCAAUUAAAAAUGGCUCGAUUUUGUAUUGCUGAGACCUUAAAAGCUCACUGUACAUUUUUCGUGUCUUUUUUAAUGCACUUUUCGUUUAACAAGUCAACAUCAGUUUCUUUUGUUGUAAAAGGGUCAUUGGAAGGUGGCUUUCUUUUCGGAGAAAGUGUUUAUAGCCUUUGGCCUCUGCAAUCGAAGAGACUGAGGUCUGCAGCGCAGACUCUUCGGGGUUAGAUACAUUUGUGCUAAGUUAUAGCUUUUUAUAGACAACUUGUUGACUAUAAUUAGUCUUGUAGCUUACUCGCUUAUGCUAUUUUACCUACGCUUAGGAUGUUGAAGAUGUAGCACAUCAU